CUGUCUUCUUCCCUGUCGUCGAUGUCUUCGGCGACGGCGUGAAGCUUUUGCUCCUCCGGGCUGCAACCGGCAGCGUGUCCUCUGGACGGCCCGUGAGCUUAACCAUGCUUGGUUUCCGCCAAACGAUUUGGAUAGAUCAGAUGGGGGGUUGCAAGAUUCGAAGAGCAAGCAGGCAAUCUCAGAGACAGCGCCGGCGAUCUGUUCGGAGAAGGUUCCUGUUCCAAUACUGUGACGAUGACGGCCGAUGUGCGCCAUUUGUUGGAUGUCUUGCGGCUGAAAUAGCUAGAGGUCUCGUCGGGUGUUGGUAGAGUUCUUUGCGUCUUGAUCCAAGGACCGUAGCGUUAAAUUUGAUGUUUCCCAGGGUCUUGUAUGCAUUUUCUUACCUCUGGAGGAUGAGUGGUGUGGACUUCCUUGUAAUUCUUUCUUCCUCCAGGGUUCUUGAUGUAAAAGUUGGGUUUUAAUAUAUGGGGUCCAGCCCCUUCGCAAAAAAAAA